rnacentral:ncRNA from 2 species
CUCUUAUCAAGAGAGGCGGAGGGAAUAGGCCCUAUGAUGCCCGGCAACCAACAAGCGAUGCUUGGAAAGGUGCUAAAUCCUACAGAUCCGGCAAGACGGGAUCUGGCAGAUGAGAG